CGCCCCCCCCCCCCCCCCCCCCAAUUACCUGUCCAUGCUGUGAGCAGCUGGACCAGACUUUGUCACUGAGGGCACCAGGAAACCUCCUUGGGAGCCCAGAGAGUUUGGCACUGACUGUGGAAGGAGCCGUGACCAGGAGGAGGUUCUCCUGAAGAGCCAAGAUACCAACUUGUCCAGCCCUGAGCCAAAGACCUAAUUGUUGGAGAUGGCCUGAGAUCUAGCUUCCAACUGAUGCGGGGGCUGCAUACGACUGACAUUCUGUAGCCUGCAUGGACCCAGGGCAUAUCAGCUCUUGGAGGCCUGGCAAACCUCGGGAGAAGUGCGAUGACGGAGGAGGACACUUUCACUGGCCCUUGGGAUGGCAUGGUAGCGGAAAGCUCCCAAGGCAGAAGAAAGCAGAAGUUGGAGAGGCUCUCAAAGAAAUAUAAGGAUACAGAGGAUAUGUAGGAAGGAACCCUAGACCUGAGGCAGGGGUUGAACAGUGCUCCUGGAUAAUGUAAUAACACUGUUCACGCUCAGCUGCCCAAUCUAGCCUAGACCUAAAUCCUGUGGAGAACACAGGAUACUGGGAGUUAACUUUCAUUUCUCCAGAAGGCACGUCCUUUUCAUGCUAUUUCCAUCCAAGACAAAGACAAAGACGACUUGCACUUGUUUUUCCAAGCCCUUCGAUAAAUAUGCGAAUGCUCUGUCCUUUUUGGCAUGUUCUGUUUUGUUGAUUUUAGAUGUGCAUUAUUAUAUCAGUAAAGACUUCUGUGUAGAA